rnacentral:rRNA from 1 species
CGACUAAGCCAUGCGAGUCAAGGGGCUCCUUCGGGAGCACCGGCGGACGGCUCAGUAACACGUGGGCAACCUACCCUCGGGUGGGGGAUAACCUCGGGAAACUGAGGCUAAUACCCCAUAGGCCUCGGGUACUGGAAGGUCCUGAGGCCGAAAGCUCCGGCGCCCGAGGAUGGGCCUGCGGCCUAUCAGGUAGUUGGUGGUGUAAAGGACCACCAAGCCUGCGACGGGUACGGGCCCUGAGAGGGGGAGCCCGGAGAUGGACUCUGAGACACGAGUCCAGGCCCUACGGGGCGCAGCAGGCGCGAAACCUUCGCAAUGCGCGAAAGCGCGACGAGGGGAGCCCGAGUGCCCUUCCUUCGGGGAGGGCUUUUCCGGAGUCUAAAAAGCUCCGGGAAUAAGGGCUGGGCAAGACGGGUGCCAGCCGCCGCGGUAAUACCCGCAGCUCGAGUGGUGGCCACUAUUAUUGAGCCUAAAGCGUCCGUAGCCGGACCCGUAAAUCCCUGGGUAAAUCCUGGCGCUCAACGUCAGGAAUUCCGGGGAGACUGCGGGUCUUGGGACCGGGAGAGGCCGGAGGUACUCCCGGGGUAGGGGUAAAAUCCUGUAAUCCCGGGGGGACCACCUGUGGCGAAAGCGUCCGGCUUGAACGGCUCCGACGGUGAGGGACGAAGGCCAGGGGAGCAAACCGGAUUAGAUACCCGGGUAGUCCUGGCUGUAAACGCUGCCCGCUUGGUGUUGUCGGUCUCUCGGGGGCCGGCAGUGCCGGAGCGAAGGUGUUAAGCGGGCCGCUUGGGGAGUACGGCCGCAAGGCUGAAACUUAAAGGAAUUGGCGGGAGAGCACUGCAACGGGAGGAGCGUGCGGUUUAAUUGGAGUCAACGCCGGG